CUACGGGCGGCAGCAGUGGGGAAUAUUGCACAAUGGGCGCAAGCCUGAUGCAGCCAUGCCGCGUGUAUGAAGAAGGCCUUCGGGUUGUAAAGUACUUUCAGCGGGGAGGAAGGGAGUAAAGUUAAUACCUUUGCUCAUUGACGUUACCCGCAGAAGAAGCACCGGCUAACUCCGUGCCAGCAGCCGCGGUAAUACGGAGGGUGCAAGCGGUAAUCGGAAUUACUGGGCGUAAAGCGCACGCAGGCGGUUUGGUAAGUCAGAUGUGAAAUCCCCGGGCGCAACCUGGGAACUGCAUCUGAUACUGGCAAGCUUGAGUCUCGUAGAGGGGGGUAGAAUUCCAGGUGUAGCGGUGACAUGCGUAGAGAUCUGGAGGAAUACCGGUGGCGAAGGCGGCCCCCUGGACGAAGACUGACGCUCAGGUGCGAAAGCGUGGGGAGCAAACAGGAUUAGAUACCCGGGUAGUC
rnacentral:rRNA from 1 species